GAUGAAGAACGCAGCGAAAUGCGAUAAGUAAUGUGAAUUGCAGAAUUCAGUGAAUCAUCGAAUCUUUGAACGCACAUUGCGCCCGCCAGUAUUCUGGCGGGAAUGCCUGUUCGAGCGUCAUUUCAACCAUCAAGCCCCCGGCUUGUGUUGGGGACCUGCGGCUGCCGCAGGCCCUGAAAAGCAGUGGCGGGCUCGCUGUCACACCGAGCGUAGUAGCAUACAUCUCGCUCUGGGCGUGCUGCGGGUUCCGGCCGUUAAACCACCUUCAUAACCCAAGGUUGACCUCGGAUCAGGUAGGAAGACCCGCUGAACUUAAGCAUAUCAAUAAGCGGAGGA
rnacentral:misc_RNA from 1 species